rnacentral:sRNA from 2 species
AUGUACCCAUCGUUCACCGCGAUUUCUCCAAACCGUUCGCACCCGCUUGACGACCGCACGCCACGUUUUACUAACC